rnacentral:rRNA from 1 species
AUGAACGCUGGCGGCGUGCCUAAUACAUGCAAGUCGAGCGAACGGACGAGAAGCUUGCUUUUCUGAUGUUAGCGGCGGACGGGUGAGUAACACGUGGAUAACCUACCUAUAAGACUGGGAUAACUUCGGGAAACCGGAGCUAAUACCGGAUAAUAUUUUGAACCGCAUGGUUCAUAAGUGAAAGACGGUCUUGCUGUCACUUAUAGAUGGAUCCGCGCUGCAUUAGCUAGUUGGUAAGGUAACGGCUUACCAAGGCAACGAUGCAUAGCCGACCUGAGAGGGUGAUCGGCCACACUGGAACUGAGACACGGUCCAGACUCCUACGGGAGGCAGCAGUAGGGAAUCUCCCGCAAUGGGCGAAAGCCUGACGGAGCAACGCCGCGUGAGUGAUGAAGGUCUUCGGAUCGUAAAACUCUGUUAUUAGGGAAGAACAUAUGUGUAAGUAACUGUGCACAUCUUGACGGUACCUAAUCAGAAAGCCACGGCUAACUACGUG